UGAGUCUUUUUCCUUUUAAUUAAUAUUGAAAUUAAUGCAUGCCAAAAUUCUUGAAUCCAGUUUCAGCAUAUCUUCAUCCAUCCAUGACUAUGAUACUCUGUAAGGAUGGCCUUAACUAUUGUGUUAGGUCAACCUCACACUCACAACUGCCAUAUCACUAACUCUAACAUUUUCCAACAUACCCUAUGAAAUGUACAUUUGCCUGGAAAAUAAUUACAAUGUACUGCAUACUAUUUGAUUCAAAGCCAUGCUGUAUAACAAGCUCUUUAUUUAUAAGUUGCUUGAAAAAGAAAUCUGCACCAGAGAAAGGUAAAUGUUAAAAUCACAACUAUAAAAAAUGAUGAGUUAAUUUACAAGUAAACAUUAGCUAUUAGACUAAAAUAUGUAUUUUAGAUAAUUUAACAUGCACAAUUAAUAUUUAAUAAUGUUAUGAGAUCUGUUAUUUUGUGACCUAAUAUCCCAGCUGGAAACUGUGGAAACAAGAAAAUUCAAGGUCCCACAGUCAAUUAUUUAGAUAUGAUAUGAAUGUGAAUAUCAUUCUUCCUUUAAUCGAGGGCUAAGAGAAAUCUUAAGAAAGCAGGGCAUCCAUUUUUCUGCCCUGAGGUAGAUCUACAAAUACUAAAGUAAUGCACUGUCCUGAUUCUGAAGAUGACACUGCUGCCCAUUAUGAGUGAGUCAGAUUAUUGCAGUAUUUUUCCAUUUGCAGUGAGGUUUUUUUUUUCCUAUUUUACCCCUUUUUAUCAGACAAUGAUUUACUAGAUCAGAUUGAAGGUCCCCAAAUGCACUGAAAUCAGUUAACCCUCUCAACAGAGAAUAAACAUAAAAUCACACCCCAAAUCAUAUUAGAACAGUGAUCUGGCAAACUACCCACAAACAUGGAGCCCAAGUUAUAGUAUUCACUUAUUUCCUGUAGAAAACAACAUUCUCAGUGGGACAGUGAAGCAUGUUCUACAAUGAAGGAUUCACAGUCAAUAAAUAAUGCUAUUUCUUUUCCAAGUUUAGAAACAAUAAGAAAUACAGGUGUCAGAGAUGAAAAUGGCAAGCAUGUUUAGUGGAAACAAUAGGCUUACUAAUGCUUCACCCUCCAUUCACACUCCCAGUGCCUAGCAUAAUGUAAGGCAACCAAGACUGGGUGUCAUGGCGCACAUCUGUAAUCCUCACAUUUUGGGAGGCUGAGGCAGGAAGAUCACUUGCAUCCAGGAGUUUGAGACCAGCUAGGUAACAUAGUGAGACCCUCGUCUCUACAAAAAAUAAAAUACUAAUUAGCCAGGCAUGGUGGCACAUGCCUAUAGUCCCAGCUACUUGGGAGGCUGUGGUGGAAGGAUCAUUGAGCCCCGGGGGGCAAGGCUGCAGUGAGCUGUGAUCAUGCUACUGCACUCAGCCUGAGUGACAAAGCAAGACCUGUUUCCAAAAAAAAGGCAUUUUAUCUCAAGGCAGAGUACUGACCAUAGUACAUUCUCAAUAGGCAGAUGAAUGCAAAGUUGACUAGUAGUGGCCACACUUCUAGUAAUCAUUGUAUUAAUGUUAUAUCCAUCUGCCUAUGGAUCUCAGCAUCUCAGUUCCUUCUGUUAACUCAUCAGCCAAAAAUAUUACUUCCCCCUUUCUGGAAUGCAGUAGAAGAAGGAGCUGCAAGAGGCUGGAACUGUUUUUCUCAUUCACACCUGUCCUAAGGAAGAAAAAAAAGGGGGGACUUCAUCUUCUUUCCUUUAGAAACAUGGGGAGUGGAGAAUAAAUGUUCCUACCUUCAACACUAAACAUAAAAUACCAUCCACUUUCUAUUAAUUCUCUACUAAAAGGAUUGCUUAGUUUAUAUUUUUUCUUUUAUUAUCUAUGUUCAUUUCAAUAUCUCUUUCAUAACUCAACCUCAGAAGGGUGAUACAUAGAAAUCCCAGAAAACAACUGUAUCAUGGCAUAAUUAGUAAGUAGUUUACCCUUCAUUGAUAUGAACUUAAAAUUCAUGUGGCUUAAAGGAGUAGUUUUAAACAGGAUAAUAAUUAUAAAAUCAUAUAUUAAAGACAUAUCUAUAAAACUGAAAUAUUUAUCCUUGUAAGAUUAGCUUUAGCUGAACUGAAAAAUAAUCUCCUUAAAUCAAAUAUGGCCUUUCCUACAUAUUUGCUCAUAAAAUUUUCUGGUAAAUUAUGAUUAUUUUAAAUUGCACCAUAUGCAUCAAAAUUUUUAACACUGAGAAUUACAAGUAUUGAAGUCUUAUAUGUUUAUACAUUUUCCAUCAAAGAAGUUUGAAAUCCAUACAUUUUUAUUUUAAAAACAGUUUAAAUCUAUUUCAAACUGAACUUUAGUAUUUUUUAAAUGAAUCUAAAUAACUUGCUUUUACUACUAAUCCUGGGAGAAAGAGGACUAAGGAAAAAAGUGUUUGACUCUUUGCUUGUUCCCUUUCUGUCACAAAUUUACAUUUGAAUUAUCCAUCCUAUCAUCCAAUUGACUAGAUGUUUCUCCAUAGACCAUCCAAGACUGACAGAAAUCCUCAUUUGUGGAGUGAAUGAAUUAUUUGUUCAGGCAUGAUUCCUCUGCUAUCUCAAUUCCUGAGAGCCCAAGAGGGAGGUGGCUGGAGUCCUAGACCAGUGAGUCUUAUCCUCCAAGCUGCAGUAGAGGUGAGGCCUGCAGUCCAUCACCAUUCAGUCCGUGGAUUCAGUCCCUUUCCUCCAUUCUCUGUGGGUGGAGUUGUUUCCUUGAUUAAUCCCAAUGUGUCCACCUGGAUGUUUCAGAUGAUCUAGUAUUUACUCACACUUUUUCUCCCAUGUUUAAGUUUUUCCAUAUUUUCUCUUCAGUUCUAACAUAAGUGCUUCCAAUUUGUUACUACUAGAAACAGAAGUAAUAUUUUUAAUUAUUA
rnacentral:lncRNA from 10 species